rnacentral:lncRNA from 1 species
CUAAACUAGAGAUUCUAGGUUCUUGUCCCCAGCAGAGUCGCCAGAGCUACUACACCUUCUUUUUCACCUGCACCCCCGAACGCUACAAAGGAGUUUUUCCAAUUAAAUAACAAUCGAAAUCGGAUUUAUUUAAAGAUGCAGAGUCGUCACUUGAAAUAAAUAUCGGUUUCCCAAGUCACCGGUUCAAAUCCCAAAUCGAGGGAAAGAUUGAUUCUGUAUUACAGUCUGAGAACCAGAAAUUCGGAUAAGGAAUUCUGUUAACCCGGGAGAAGGUGUUAGGAAUUCCUGAGUUCUGUGGUUCUAGCACGGUUACUAAACUAUAACAAUUGGCCUAUUAACUGAUUUUAAUACAUAUUUUAUCCUAUGGUAUAUUUUGAUUUUUCAACCACUUUUAUUUAAUUAAUUAAAGGAAGAUUGCAACCUCAUUUAAAAUAUGUUUCAAACCACGUCAUAUAAAUGCACCCGCAGUCCGCAACAUAUUUUAUCUAACGUCGAGAUUUGGAUUUGGGUCACAUGAAUGAGCACUUGAGUUUUAGGAAGGUAAAUUAUUAAAACAACACCCCUAAAGCAACUACACAUUUUUAGCUUCGCGAGGGCCACAAAAAUUUCACUAAGUGGCACGCCUCGAAUUCUAAGGAUUAAAUCAAACUUAAUUAAAACAAGAGCUAAGUGAUUGUCAUUUUUGUUCGGUAUGACGCACCUCAAAAUAUUCUAACAAAGUUGCUAAAUUAACUCAUGAAGGCCCUAAAUUGUUAUAUAUUGUAAUAUGGCUCACCGUAAUUAUUCCAAAAGGCUUGAUUAAUUGCUUAAAGGACAUGGGAACUUCUUGGAUCAUUGUUUUAGGAAUCAAAUUUGGUCGAUUGGUGACAAAGGAUUUGGUCCAGUCAAUAGAAUGAUCCUGACCUAGAAAGAAAAAACAUAUGGCAAGCACUGCCAUUUCCAACGGCCAAACUUCAAAGCCUUGGGCCCACGUUGAGCCCAAGUUUGACAAACGAAAGGACCUUAAUGUCCGACCCUAGGUCGAGUCCCUACAAGGCCAACUCAAUUCCAUAAUAGAAAUUGGGCCCCAAAUGACCACAAUGAAUUUGAAAUCCCACAUAAAAUCACUGAUGUUCAAUGUUAAGCACAAACAGACCAUUAAUAAUUCAAAUUAUCUAAUAUUCAACAUUAUCCAGCCAAGUUUUCAAGCUAUGAUUGCACGUUCUUAUUUACAAGCAAUUCAUCCACUAACCUAAUUAAUAACAUGGCUUUUCAGAUUCAGCAUGCAUAUAUCAAUAUACUUUUUCUCACUUUAAAUCUCCAUUCUACAUGUCUUCUAAUCAAAUAAUUGAUAGACAAAACAAUGAGAAACUUAAUGAAACAUUUUUAUCCUAUCAUGCUACAUGCAGAACCUAGCCAUAGGUUAUUCAUCAUAACAAAUUCUAAGAUGGACUCAUGCAAAUCAGAGAGUAUCUCCUAAUUUACCUCACUAAUACAUCCCCCAACUUUGAAGACAAAACAAGAGGAACAAACAUGGAAAAUCCAAGCUGAUUAUAGAAUUCGGCAACAAAAUCAUAACAAGACCACAUACACUAAGCUAGUGUAAUCUAGACUUCAAUUAAAACCCAUAUGGUGAUAAAUACAUCAAUCAAAAAUCCAAAUAUGGUAUGCUUAUUACAAAAACUAAAGGAACAAAUAUGAAUUUCAAUGAAUCACCACCACAUUUCAUCUUAUUUUCAAUCCAAGUUUUGCAUUAUACAUUAGGUGAUAUCCAUAAGACUGAGUAAUAACUGGAAAUGAGACUAAAAGUGGGGGGAGGGGUGGUAAGGUUCAGAAGUAGAAACAACAGGAUCCAGCAACAGAAAUAAACCACAGAAACAGCUUUAAACCAAAAAUUUUGAUGCUCAACAAUCAAAAUCCACAACCAAACUUCAAACCAAGCUUUUAACAUAGCAGACUCGACUCUUCUCAGACCGGUAGCUUAGAAACUACUUCAGGAAUUAGAAAUUGAAGAGAUCACAUAAAGAACUCAAUGAAAUAGUGAUUUCAACAAUCUUCAAACUAAAAACACCUUCUAAACACACAAAAUAACACAAAGUGUAAUCCAUUUCAAAUCCUCAAGCUAUUCAUAGUCAUUUUAGAAGUUGAAGUCUUCAGAAAUCAAAGGAAAGCAAAAAAACUCAAUGAAGUAGUAGAAAUUUUUAUUGGCCGUUUGAUAUUUUCUGGAAUUCUAUCACCAAGAACUUUGCCUUGAAAGGCACGAAAACAUGCAUUUAUAGGAAGUAGGACAUCCUAUAAAAGUUCAGCUUUGCAAUUGGGCUGUUUUUCAAUUUUUGAUUUUUGCCUAGAUAGCCUUAGUUAAAAAUCUUAAAAUCAUCUUAAAACCCCCACCCAGCUUCCUAUAAGCUUCUCAAUCAGUUACCAAAAUAUUCCCAAACCAAAACUUCCCAAGCUACACCACAUAACCCCUAAAAUUACCCUUAGCCUCAGGCUUUACCCAACGGCCUAACUAGAUUCCAAACUUGGGCCUGAACGGAUGACCAUCCGUUGCCCAGGUCUGCCUUAACCCAAACCCAAAAGGAAAUCUUAAACCCAUUAAUAUGAAAACAAAAACUCAUAAAACACACAAAAGUUCAUCCAAUAGAAUCCUAAAGUAGUGAACCUGACUACACUAAUUGAUUAAAACUACCACUAGGUAAAAGGGAAAAAGAUCAGGAACCUGAUUAAAUUAGACUACUCUUGAAGGUUAACAUUCUAGUAAAAACGAAGAAAACAAGAGGAUUACCUUAUUGAGUUAAAUCCCCAUAACAAAUAAAGAGAUGAGUGGAGAGCAGACUAAAAUAAAAAUAGAGGAAACCAGAAUAACAGAGCUAAAUUUAAAAUGGAUAUACCAUCAAGAGAGGGGGAAUGUACUAUUCGUUCUUCUACCGGAAACCUACAGAUGAUUCGAUGAAUGGUUCUGACAAACUUUUUUGAUUUUGGUGUUGCAUAGGGUCGGUGAGCCUCGAAUUGAGUCAAAAUCAAUGCUAACUGUUUGCUCUCAUGGAGAACAAAUUGUUGGCAUAAGUUCUGACCCAGUAAUGGCCCAAAUAUCACUUGAACAAGGCACAGAACCCAAGCUUCAACUUUAACAUCAGAUUCGAGAUUUGGAGAUAAGGGUGGGGAUAUUGGGAAAAGUUUUACCAGCCUAGUGCUUGAGGGAGUGUGGGGAAGGAAUAAUUAAGAUUUGGUGAGGUUUAGAGCUCUGUUGCCUGUGAAAAUAGUGGAUUAGGGUUUUUUCAGAGAAUGAAUAGAUGAAGAAGAUGAAGGAGAUGAGGUGGAACUGAUUGGUCUCCGAUGGAUUUGGACAUUUUAAAGAGAAAUGGGGGAAAGUGUGGGAGCCGUUGGAUGAGC